CACUGCCGCACUGUCGCGCGCAUGAACGAUCCAGAACGUGUGUUUUUUUUUUUUUUUACUAAAACUAUGUAUUUUUGGUCCAUCGUACCGAUCGAUCCAAUAAUGCGAUAACAUUUUUGAAAACUAAUCCGAAUUCGUUAUAAUGUCUACUCGAGAUCGGUCAGUUCACAUUCUAAGAUUUCUGAUUUAUAUUCCAAAUAAUCAACGUUUGAAAAUGCCGAAAUUUCAAAAUAUUCAAACUAAA